GAGCAUGUGAUCUCCUACAUGAAUAACGAAUACCGACUGAAGACACUGUCUGCCCAGGAAAGAUCUAUUUCAACCACGAUAUAGUAUUUAUCAGGCUGCAUCGUUGGAGCUUCCCUUGAAGAAGUAGAAGACGAUGAAAAAGAAGAAGAGAACCAGUCAGCUGAAGAGGAUGCAGUGAACACUAAACAGAAGCAGGGUCUCUUCCAGGUAGUAGGGACUCUGUCCAGUCCUCUUGGCCAGAAGCUGAAUUUUCCUGUGGAAACUUGCACGAUCUCAAGUAGAGAUGAACUAUUAAGCCGUCUUUUGGAGAGUGACGUCAUCAUUUACAACAUUACUGAAGACCCUUGCCAAAUCGAUGAGGCUUUGUGGGCUG